GACGAACGCUGGCGGCGUGCUUAACACAUGCAAGUCGAACGGAAAGGCCCUGCUUUUGUGGGGUGCUCGAGUGGCGAACGGGUGAGUAACACGUGAGUAACCUGCCCUUGACUUUGGGAUAACUUCAGGAAACUGGGGCUAAUACCGGAUAGGAGCUCCUGCUGCAUGGUGGGGGGUGGAAAGUUUCGGCGGUUGGGGAUGGACUCGCGGCUUAUCGGCUUGUUGGUGGGGUAGUGGCUUACCAAGGCUUUGACGGGUAGCCGGCCUGAGAGGGUGACCGGCCACAUUGGGACUGAGAUACGGCCCAGACUCCUACGGGAGGCAGCAGUGGGGAAUAUUGCACAAUGGGCGGAAGCCUGAUGCAGCAACGCCGCGUGCGGGAUGACGGCCUUCGGGUUGUAAACCGCUUUCGCCUGUGACGAAGCGUGAGUGACGGUAAUGGGUAAAGAAGCACCGGCUAACUACGUG
rnacentral:rRNA from 1 species